AGCAGCCGCGGUAAUUCCAGCUCCAAUAGCGUAUAUUAAAGUUGUUGCAGUUAAAAAGCUCGUAGUUGAAUUUCGGGAUCAAUACGUCGGUCGUGCUUCGGUACGUACUGGCAUUGUUGGUUUCUCCCUUUUGACGAACCAUGAUGUCAUUUAUUUGGUGUCAUGGGAAAUCAGGACUGUUACUUUGAAAAAAUUAGAGUGUUUAAAGCAGGCUCACGCUUGAAUACAUUAGCAUGGAAUAAUGAAAUAGGACGUUUGAUUCUAUUUUGUUGGUUUCUAGGAUCGACGUAAUGAUUAAUAGGGAUAGUUGGGGGCAUUAGUAUUCAAUUGUCAGAGGUGAAAUUCUUGGAUUUAUUGAAGACUAACUAACUGCGAAAGCAUUUGCCAAGGAUGCUUUCAUUAAUCAAGAACGAAAGUUAGGGGAUCGAAGACGAUCAGAUACCGUCGUAG
rnacentral:rRNA from 1 species